UACGUAGGUGACAAGCGUUAUCCGGAUUUAUUGGGCGUAAAGCGCACGCAGGCGGCGGAUUAAGUCUGUCGUGAAAUCUCUCGGCUUAACCGGGAGCGGUCGUUGGAAACUAAUCGGCUUGAGGCGAUGAGAGGGGUGUGGAAUUCCCGGUGUAGUGGUGGAAUGCGUAGAGAUCGGGAAGAACAUCGGUGGCGAAAGCGCUCUACUGGACCGCAACUGACACUCAGGGACGAAAGCUAGGGGAGCGAAUGGG
rnacentral:rRNA from 1 species